rnacentral:rRNA from 1 species
GAUUAGGCAUGCGAGUCGUGCGCGAACUGUAGCAACAGAAGGGAGAGUGGCGAACGGGAGAGGACAACGUGGGAAUCUGCCAUCGGCAGGAUGAUAGCGGCGGGAACCUGCCGGUAAUACCAGAUAAUAUCUUUGGAUCAACGGUGUGAUUCCGCCAGAGGAUGAGUCCACGCCAUAUUAGCUUGUUGGCGGGGUAACGGCCAACCAAGGCAAUGAUGGGUAGCUGGUGUGAGAGUAUGACCAGCCUACGGGGGCACUGAGACACUGGCCAGACACCUACGGGUGGCUGCAGUCGAGAAUCUUCGGCAAUGGACGAACGUCUGACCGAGUGACGCCGCGUGCGGGAUGAAGGCACGGGGGGUUGUAACCAGCUGUCGUAGAGGAACAACGGUAUGUGGGUUCUCCAAUGUAUUUGAGUGAUUCUAGGAGGAAGGAGAGGCUAAGCUCGUGCCAGCAGCCGCGGUAAGACGAGUUCUAAGAGGACGUUAUUCGGUAUCACUGGGCUUAACGAGUUCGUAGGCGGCUUGACAGGUGAGGUGUGAACGAAGAGGAGGCCUAACCGUGGAAUUGCGCUUCAACCAGUCGAGCUGGAGGGAUGCAGGGGUAUGCGGAACAGAUGGUGGAGUGGUGAACUGCGUUGAUAUCAUCUGGAACACCGGUGGCGAAAGCGGCACAGAUGGGACGGGUUCUGACGCUGAGGAACGAACGCUAGGGUAGCGAACGGGAUUAGACA